GAGUUUGAUCGUGGCUCAGAUUGAACGCUGGCGGCAUGCCUUACACAUGCAAGUCGAACGGCAGCACGGGAGCUUGCUCCUGGUGGCGAGUGGCGAACGGGUGAGUAAUGCAUCGGAACGUAUCCUGGAGUGGGGGAUAACGUAGCGAAAGUUACGCUAAUACCGCAUAUUCUGUGAGCAGGAAAGCGGGGGACCUUCGGGCCUCGCGCUCUUGGAGCGGCCGAUGUCGGAUUAGCUAGUUGGUGAGGUAAAGGCUCACCAAGGCGACGAUCCGUAGCAGGUCUGAGAGGAUGAUCUGCCACACUGGAACUGAGACACGGUCCAGACUCCUACGGGAGGCAGCAGUGGGGAAUUUUGGACAAUGGGGGCAACCCUGAUCCAGCCAUGCCGCGUGAGUGAAGAAGGCCUU
rnacentral:rRNA from 6 species